rnacentral:rRNA from 1 species
GACAGAGGGGGCAAGCGUUGCUCGGAAUCACUGGGCGUAAAGGGCGCGUAGGCGGGAUGGCAAGUCGGUCGUGAAAGCCUUCGGCUCAACCGAAGAACGUCGGCCGAUACUGCCGUUCUUGAGGGAUGCAGAGGAGACUGGAAUUCCCGGUGUAGCGGUGAAAUGUGUAGAGAUCGGGAGGAACACCAGUGGCGAAGGCGGCCUUCUGGACCAGUACUGACGGCUGAGG